rnacentral:rRNA from 1 species
GAUGAACGCUGGCGGCGUGCCUAAUACAUGCAAGUCGAGCGAACGGACGAGAAGCUUGCUUCUCUGAUGUUAGCGGCGGACGGGUGAGUAACACGUGGAUAACCUACCUAUAAGACUGGGAUAACUUCGGGAAACCGGAGCUAAUACCGGAUAAUAUUUUGAACCGCAUGGUUCAAAAGUGAAAGACGGUCUUGCUGUCACUUAUAGAUGGAUCCGCGCUGCAUUAGCUAGUUGGUAAGGUAACGGCUUACCAAGGCAACGAUGCAUAGCCGACCUGAGAGGGUGAUCGGCCACACUAGAACUGAGACACGGUCCAGACUCCUAAGGGAGGCAGCAGUAGGGAAUCUUCCGCAAUGGGCGAAAGCCUGACGGAGCAACGCCGCGUGAGUGAUGAAGGUCUUCGGAUCGUAAAACUCUGUUAUUAGGGAAGAACAUAUGUGUAAGUAACUGUGCACAUCUUGACGGUACCUAAUCAGAAAGCCACGGCUAACUACGUG